rnacentral:lncRNA from 1 species
GGGUUAUGUUCUUCUCAUAUAUGUUAUGAUGGUAUGAUAUUAAACCCCUAACGGGAAGGGUUGUGCCUGAUAUUCAUAUGAUGAAAUUAUAAUCUUUCAAUCAGUUUAAUUGAAGUCUGGAGCUGGCAUGUCAGUUAACUGCUAGUAGUCUGUUGUUAUUUAUGUAUAUUAUUGUCAUUUUGUUUAUUUUCUUUGGUUACAUCUUCUGACAUCAGACU